AUGGCAGCCACCAUGGUUAAUCCUUCCGAGGCGCAGAAUACGCCGCAGGACUACCUCUCAUCGCACAAACGCCGCCCACGCCGCCGUCGGGGUGGGCGCGGUGAGCUUGAGCACGAAGCUGCAGGGGUUCGCCCAGAGCUACGCCAACCAGAGGAUCAACGACUGCAAGCUCCAGCACUCGGGCGGGCCGUACGGGGAGAACAUCUUCUGGGGGUCGGGCGGCGCGGACUGAAAUGCGGCGGAUGCGGUGAACGCGUGGGUGGGCGAGAAGAAGGACUACGGCUACCGCUCCAACACCUGCGCCGCGGGGAAGGUGUGCGGGCACUCCACCAUGGGCUGCGCUCGCGUCGUCUGCAACAACAACCGUGGCGUCUUCAUCACCUGCAACUACGAGCCCGCCGGGAAUAUCGUUGGACGAAAACCAUACUAGCUAUGAUAUCUUCGCAGUAA
rnacentral:rRNA from 1 species